GCGGGUAUGGUGGAAUAGGCAGACACAAGGGACUUAAAAUCCCUCGGAGGCGACUCCGUGCCGGUUCAAGUCCGGCUACCCGCA
rnacentral:tRNA from 7 species